GACGAACGCUGGCGGCGUGCUUAACACAUGCAAGUCGAACGGAAAGGCCCUGCUUUUGUGGGGUGCUCGAGUGGCGAACGGGUGAGUAACACGUGAGUAACCUGCCCUUGACUUUGGGAUAACUUCAGGAAACUGGGGCUAAUACCGGAUAGGAGCUCCUGCUGCAUGGUGGGGGUUGGAAAGUUUCGGCGGUUGGGGAUGGACUCGCGGCUUAUCAGCUUGUUGGUGGGGUAGUGGCUUACCAAGGCUUUGACGGGUAGCCGGCCUGAGAGGGUGACCGGCCACAUUGGGACUGAGAUACGGCCCAGACUCCUACGGGAGGCAGCAGUGGGGAAUAUUGCACAAUGGGCGGAAGCCUGAUGCAGCAACGCCGCGUGCGGGAUGACGGCCUUCGGGUUGUAAACCGCUUUCGCCUGUGACGAAGCGUGAGUGACGGUAAUGGGUAAAGAAGCACCGGCUAACUACGUGCCAGCAGCCGCGGUGAUACGUAGGGUGCGAGCGUUGUCCGGAUUUAUUGGGCGUAAAGGGCUCGUAGGUGGUUGAUCGCGUCGGAAGUGUAAUCUUGGGGCUUAACCCUGAGCGUGCUUUCGAUACGGGUUGACUUGAGGAAGGUAGGGGAGAAUGGAAUUCCUGGUGGAGCGGUGGAAUGCGCAGAUAUCAGGAGGAACACCAGUGGCGAAGGCGGUUCUCUGGGCCUUUCCUGACGCUGAGGAGCGAAAGCGUGGGGAGCGAACAGGCUUAGAUACCCUGGUAGUCCACGCUGUAAACGGUGGGUACUAGGUGUGGGGUCCAUUCCACGGGUUCCGUGCCGUAGCUAACGCUUUAAGUACCCCGCCUGGGGAGUACGGCCGCAAGGCUAAAACUCAAAGGAAUUGACGGGGCCCCGCACAAGCGGCGGAGCAUGCGGAUUAAUUCGAUGCAACGCGUAGAACCUUACCUGGGUUUGACAUGGAUCGGGAGUGCUCAGAGAUGGGUGUGCCUCUUUUGGGGUCGGUUCACAGGUGGUGCAUGGCUGUCGUCAGCUCGUGUCGUGAGAUGUUGGGUUAAGUCCCGCAACGAGCGCAACCCUUGUUCACUGUUGCCAGCACGUUAUGGUGGGGACUCAGUGGGGACCGCCGGGGUCAACUCGGAGGAAGGUGGGGAUGACGUCAAGUCAUCAUGCCCCUUAUGUCCAGGGCUUCACGCAUGCUACAAUGGCUGGUACAGAGAGUGGCGAGCCUGUAGGGGUGAGCGAAUCUCGGAAAGCCGGUCUCAGUUCGGAUUGGGGUCUGCAACUCGACCUCAUGAAGUCGGAGUCGCUAGUAAUCGCAGAUCAGCAACGCUGCGGUGAAUACGUUCCCGGG
rnacentral:rRNA from 1 species